UACAGAGGUCUCAAGCGUUGUUCGGAUUCAUUGGGCGUAAAGGGUGCGUAGGUGGCGCGCUAAGUCAGGUGUGAAAUUUCGGAGCUUAACUCCGAAACUGCAUUUGAUACUGGCGUGCUUGAGGACUGGAGAGGAGACUGGAAUUCAUGGUGUAGCAGUGAAAUGCGUAGAGAUCAUGAGGAAGACCAGUGGCGAAGGCGGGUCUCUGGACAGUUCCUGACACUGGAGACGAAGGCCAGGGGGAAG
rnacentral:rRNA from 1 species